AUUAAGGUGGCAGAUUAAUGCCAUAGAUUUAAGCUCUAUUUAUAAGGGUUCCUUCCUUAAUA
rnacentral:tRNA from 1 species